rnacentral:rRNA from 1 species
GUAAGGAAUAUUGGACAAUGGACGCAAGUCUGAUCCAGCCAUGCCGCGUGAAGGAUUAAGGUCCUCUGGAUUGUAAACUUCUUUUAUAAGGGACGAAAAAAGGCUUUUCUAAGUCGUCUGACGGUACCUUAUGAAUAAGCACCGGCUAACUCCGUGCCAGCAGCCGCGGUAAUACGGAGGGUGCAAGCGUUAUCCGGAUUCACUGGGUUUAAAGGGUGCGUAGGCGGGCAGGUAAGUCAGUGGUGAAAUCCUAGAGCUUAACUCUAGAACUGCCAUUGAUACUAUCUGUCUUGAAUAUUGUGGAGGUAAGCGGAAUAUGUCAUGUAGCGGUGAAAUGCUUAGAUAUGACAUAGAACACCUAUUGCGAAGGCAGCUUACUACGCAUAUAUUGACGCUGAGGCACGAAAGCGUGGGGAUCAAACAGGAUUAGAUACCCUGGAGUCC